AUUGAGGGCUGCAACUCGCCCUCAUGAAGUUGGAAUUGGUAGUAAUCGCGGAUCAGCAGGCCGCGGUGAAUACGUUCUCGAGUCUUGUACA
rnacentral:rRNA from 1 species